GAGCCGGUAGCUCAGUUGGUAGAGCAACGGACUUUUAAUCCGUAGGUCCUGGGUUCGAUCCCCAGCCGGCUCA
rnacentral:tRNA from 2 species